GUUCCUGCAGUGCAGUGAAAAGCCCGUUGAACUUCUAAUCCAAAGGUUGUGGGUUCGAAUCUCACCUGGAAUA